rnacentral:lncRNA from 1 species
UUCAGGCUCUGCUUUCCAUCUUCCUUAUCUUUCAGGGCUUCUUCCAAGACCCCUGGACAACCUAAUGCUGAAUUUCCCAUUUAAUGUGACAAUUCAUAUAUUCAGUAAAUUUUGGAAAUCUCAGCUCUGCCACAAGGUUGGGACAGCUUGAGGGAUGUUGGGGAGCAUGGACUUAUGGAAAGAAUGAAAUAAGAGGUGAG